rnacentral:lncRNA from 1 species
AAGGAGCCUUGCUGAGAAUGAGCCGGUUGUGGUUGGUGUAUGUGGAGAUGCACUGUCUACACACUUACAAGAGCUGAUGGAUGAUGCCCCUGCACUAUCCAAGAUUCUGGAUGUCUUUAAGGUCAACUCCCUCCUAACAUGAGAGUGGAAGAAAGGUUGGCAGCAGCUUUGGUUUCCUUAGUAUGCUGCGGAUGGAACACAAGAACACAAGUCUGAGCAUCCUUGAUGACUGCCAUCAUCACCCUGCCUGUAGCUGCCUGC